UACAGAGACUGCAAGCGUUAUUCGGAUUCACUGGGCGUAAAGGGUGUGUAGGCGGCCCGGUGUGUCUGAUGUGAAAUCCCGAGGCUUAACCUCGGAACUGCGUCUGAAACUACUCGGCUAGAGUAUUGGAGAGGGUAACGGAAUUCACGGUGUAGCAGUGAAAUGCGUAGAUAUCGUGAGGAACACCAGAGGCGAAGGCAGUUACCUGGACAAUUACUGACGCUCAGGCACGAAAGCAUGGGGAGCAAAAGGG
rnacentral:rRNA from 1 species